GAGUUUGAUCCUGGCUCAGGAUGAAUGCUGGCGGCGUGCCUAACACAUGCAAGUCGAGCGGCAGCGAGGGGUGCUUGCACCCUGUCGGCGAGCGGCGGACGGCUGAGUAACGCGUGGGAAUCUACCCUAAAGUGAGGGAUAACCGCCCGAAAGGGUGGCUAAUACCGCAUAUGAUCUUCGGAUUAAAGGAUUUAUCCGCUUUAGGAAGAGCCCGCGUUAGAUUAGGUAGUUGGUAGGGUAAUGGCCUACCAAGCCAACGAUCUAUAGCUGGUCUGAGAGGAUGAUCAGCCAGACUGGAACUGAGACACGGUCCAGACUCCUACGGGAGGCAGCAGUGAGGAAUCUUCCACAAUGGGCGAAAGCCUGAUGGAGCAACGCCGCGUGAAGGAUGAAGGCCUUCGGGUUGUAAACUUCUUUUAUGAGUGAAGAAUAUGACGGUAACUCAUGAAUAAGCACCGGCUAACUACGUGCCAGCAGCCGCGGUCAUACGUAGGGUGCAAGCAUUAUCCGGAGUGACUGGGCGUAAAGAGUUGCGUAGGCGGUUUAAUAAGUGAAUAGUGAAACCUGGUGGCUCAACCAUACAGACUAUUAUUCAAACUGUUAAACUCGAGAGUAGUAGAGGUAACUGGAAUUUCUAGUGUAGGAGUGAAAUCCGUAGAUAUUAGAAGGAACACCAAUGGCGUAGGCAGGUUACUGGACUAUUUCUGACGCUAAGGCACGAAAGCGUGGGGAGCGAACUGGAUUAGAUACCCAGGUAGUCCACGCCGUAAACGAUGGAUACUAGCUGUUGGAGGUAUCGACCCCUUCAGUAGCGAAGCUAACGCGUUAAGUAUCCCGCCUGUGGAGUACGGCCGCAAGGCUAAAACAUAAAGGGAAUUGACGGGGGACCCCGCACAAGCGGUGGAUCAUGUUCUUUAAUUCGAUGAUAAACGAAGAACCUUACCAGGGUUUGACAUCCCAAGAAGAUUUACGAAAGUAGAUUGUGCCUUUUGGAACUCGGUGACAGAUGAUGCAUGGCCGUCGUCAGCUCGUGUCGUGAGAUGUUUGGUUAAGUCCAUCAACGAGCGCAACCCUUGUGAAUAGUUGAAAUUUUUCUAUUCAGACUGCCCCGGCAACGGGGAGGAAGGAGGGGAUGAUGUCAGGUCAGUAUUUCUCUUACAAUCCUGGGCUAGAAACGUGAUACGAAUGGCGAAGUACGAAUGCGCAGCGAAAGCCGCGAGGUGAAAGCAAAAUCGCACCAAAAGCUUGUCCCGGUUCGGAUUGGAGGAUGAAACUCGCCUCCAUGAAAGUUCGGAAAUCGCUAGUAAUCGCAGGUCAGCAAAACUGCGGUGAAUACGUUCCCGGGUUCUUGUACACACCGCCCGUCA
rnacentral:rRNA from 1 species